GAUGAACGCUGGCGGCGUGCCUAAUACAUGCAAGUCGAGCGAACAGACGAGGAGCUUGCUCCUCUGACGUUAGCGGCGGACGGGUGAGUAACACGUGGAUAACCUACCUAUAAGACUGGGAUAACUUCGGGAAACCGGAGCUAAUACCGGAUAAUAUAUUGAACCGCAUGGUUCAAUAGUGAAAGACGGUUUUGCGGUAACUUAUAGAUGGAUCCGCGCCGCAUUAGCUAGUUGGUAAGGUAACGGCUUACCAAGGCAAUGAUGCGUAGCCGACCUGAGAGGGUGAUCGGCCACACUGGAACUGAGACACGGUCCAGACUCCUACGGGAGGCAGCAGUAGGGAAUCUUCCGCAAUGGGCGAAAGCCUGACGGAGCAACGCCGCGUGAGUGAUGAAGGUCUUCGGAUCGUAAAACUCUGUUAUUAGGGAAGAACAAAUGUGUAAGUAACUAUGCACGUCUUGACGGUACCUAAUCAGAAAGCCACGGCUAACUACGUG
rnacentral:rRNA from 1 species